GACGAACGCUGGCGGCGUGCCUAAUACAUGCAAGUCGAACGCAUUUUCUUUCACCGUAGCUUGCUACACCGAAAGAAAAUGAGUGGCGAACGGGUGAGUAACACGUGGGUAACCUGCCCAUCAGCGGGGGAUAACACUUGGAAACAGGUGCUAAUACCGCAUAAUUCCAUUUACUGCAUGGUAGAUGGAUGAAAGGCGCUUUUGCGUCACUGAUGGAUGGACCCGCGGUGCAUUAGCUAGUUGGUGGGGUAACGGCCUACCAAGGCUGCGAUGCAUAGCCGACCUGGGAGGGUGAUCGGCCACACUGGGACUGAGACACGGCCCAGACUCCUACGGGAGGCAGCAGUAGGGAAUCUUCGGCAAUGGACGCAAGUCUGACCGAGCAACGCCGCGUGAGUGAAGAAGGUUUUCGGAUCGUAAAACUCUGUUGUUAGAAAAGAACAAGGAUGAGAGUGGAAAGUUCAUCCCUUGACGGUAUCUAACCAGAAAGCCACGGCUAACUACGUG
rnacentral:rRNA from 1 species